rnacentral:lncRNA from 10 species
AGCUCCUUUCAGAUAGAGACAAGGGAUAUUUGACUUCUUAUCUCUGUUGUCCAGCACAAUGUCCAGAACACAACAGAUAUUCCAUAUGCACAGUCACAUGCUAUGUAUGUGUAUUUUCUUUCCAGAAAGGACUAGAGGUCCUAAGCUUUGUUAAUAUCAUGAGCCAGUGCCCACAUGAGCAGGAGAAUUUUAGCACAGUCACCUACACACUCAUUUCGAUGCUCUGACCCCUUAUCCAAGCCAGUCAAAGUGUGGUCUAUGGUUUUGCAUUUUAAAGAGAUCCCUGGGUGAAUCUUGUGCAUGUUACAGGGAAGCACUGUCCUACAUCCUAUGUGACAGGCUCUCAUAGUCACCAUCAUCAUGGGAAUCUUGCACAUGUUACAGGGAAGCACUGUCCUACAUCAUAUGUGACAGGCUCUCAUAGUCACCAUCAUCACGGGAAUCUUGCACAUGUUACAGGGAAGCACUGUCCUACAUCGUAUGUGACAGGCUCUCAUAAUCACCAUCAUCAUGUGAUCUUGUGCAUGUUACAGGGAAGCACUGUUCUACAUCGUAUCUGACAGGCUCUCAUAGUCACCGUCAUCACGGGAAUCUUGUGCAUGUUACAGGGAAGCACUGUCCUACAUCAUAUGUGACAGGCUCUCAUAGUCACCAUCAUCACAGGAAUCUUGUGCAUGUUACAGGGAAGGACUGUCCUACAUCGUAGGUGACAGGCUCUCAUAAUCACCAUCAUCACGGGAAUCUUGUGCAUGUUGCAGGGAAGCACUGUCCUACAUCGUAUGCGACAGGGUCUCAGAGUCACCAUCAUCGUGGGAAUCUUGUGCAUGUUACAGGGAAGCACUGUCCUACAUCAUAUGUGACAGGCUCUCAUAGUCACCAUCAUCACGGGAAGCUGCAUUUAGAGCAUUUAACUGUAUGGGCUCUGAAAUCAGAUGACUUAGGUUUGGGCUUGCCUCUACUUCUUACUAAGCAGAGAACUUUGGGGCAUGAUACUUAAUUUUACUAGGCUCAGUUUUAUCAUGUGUAAAUUGGAGGCAAGGGGAAAUUAUAGCAUUUUGCAUAGAAUAUUGUUUUAAGUAUGAA